UUGCUCUUGGGUGACGAGUGGCGGACGGGUGAGUAAUGUCUGGGGAUCUGCCCGAUAGAGGGGGAUAACCACUGGAAACGGUGGCUAAUACCGCAUAACGUCGCAAGACCAAAGAGGGGGACCUUCGGGCCUCUCACUAUCGGAUGAACCCAGAUGGGAUUAGCUAGUAGGCGGGGUAAUGGCCCACCUAGGCGACGAUCCCUAGCUGGUCUGAGAGGAUGACCAGCCACACUGGAACUGAGACACGGUCCAGACUCCUACGGGAGGCAGCAGUGGGGAAUAUUGCACAAUGGGCGCAAGCCUGAUGCAGCCAUGCCGCGUGUAUGAAGAAGGCCUUCGGGUUGUAAAGUACUUUCAGCGGGGAGGAAGGCGACGGGGUUAAUAACCCUGUCGAUUGACGUUACCCGCAGAAAAAGCACCGGCUAACUCCGUGCCAGCAGCCGCGGUAAUACGGAGGGUGCAAGCGUUAAUCGGAAUUACUGGGCGUAAAGCGCACGCAGGCGGUCUGUUAAGUCAGAUGUGAAAUCCCCGGGCUUAACCUGGGAACUGCAUUUGAAACUGGCAGGCUUGAGUCUUGUAGAGGGGGGUAGAAUUCCAGG
rnacentral:rRNA from 1 species